rnacentral:tRNA from 1 species
UGUAGAGAAGACGAGUGGUAAGUCGGCGGGCUCAUGCCCCGCAGAAGCGGGUUCGACUCCCGCCUCUACUA